rnacentral:lncRNA from 1 species
UCUUCUUCUUAUCCUUCUUCUUACACCAUGAUGCAGCCGGCUCCAGGCGUUGUCCCACCUUCGAUGCAACCGGCACCUAUGGAUCAGCAGCAGCCGCCGCAGUACCAGCAGCCCCCGCCACAGCAGCAGUGGAUGAUGAUGCCGCCUCCGCAGCAGCAGCAACAGACGCAGCCCCCGCCGGCUUGGGCGCAACAGGCGCCAGUUCCGCCGCCCCAGGCCCAGCCCCAGAUGGCGCCGCCACCCCAGCAGCAGCAGUAUGUGGCCGCGCCGCAGGCGAGCAAUCCCGAAGAGAUUCGGUCGCUGUGGAUCGGAGAUUUGCAGCCGUGGAUGGAAGAGAACUAUCUGUGGGGAUGUUUCUCUCAGACCGG